GAGAUCAGCGCCAUCGGAGUCACCUCACGACCAACCUCACCCAAGGAGGACAAGGCUUCAACCUCCAAGCUGCUAAAAACCUCUAGCAAGCCCCCAAACACACGGUCACCCUCACAUUCCAGCAAGACUCCAAAUACCCGCUGGCAGUAGCUCCAAUGACUGAAACCCGCUACGUAGAUGACAUCUACGGGGGAGCUGACACAGAGACGGAAGCGAUUGCAAUCGCUAAACAAACCAGGGAACUCUGUGCAGCUGGAUGCUUCCCAUUAACAAAAUGGUCAAGUAACAGCGCUCGGUUACUCGCUACAAUGUCACCAAACGAUCAACCAGUGAACUCGCUACGGGAAAUCGGAGAUACUACGGUGAAGGUCCUCGGAGUUGGCUGGAAUCCUCACCACGAUGUAUUCCAGUUCAACUAUCACUUGGCUGAAGAUCCUCCAGCAACAAAACGGGCAAUCUUGUCUGAAAUUGCUCGUCUGUAUGAUCCUCUCGGUUUCCUCGCUCCGAUCAUCAUCAAAGCCAAGGUGAUCAUGCAAGAACUCUGGCUUGAAAAACUGGGCUGGGAUGAUCAAUUGGCUCCGACACAACUCCACAAGUGGACGGUAUUUCGAGCGGACCUCACCAACCUUGCUAACCUCCGGGUAAACAGAUGGAUUAAUCUCAAGGAGAAUGUGUCUGCAGAGCUCCACGGGUUCUCAGACGCAUCCCAACUCGCUAUGGCUGCGGUGGUCUACCUGAAGGUGACGGAUCUUCAGGGGAAUUCGUCAGUUGCACUUUUAUGCUCCAAAACUCAAGUAGCCCCUCUGAAACCACUCACAAUUCCACGUUUGGAGUUGAACGCUGCCGUACUUCUCACCAGACUUACUCUCUACGUGCGAAAAACACUUAACUUGGAGCAAAUACCAAUCUAUUUGUGGACUGACUCUGCAGUAACCCUCGCUUGGAUACAAAGUCAACCCUCUCGCUGGAAAACUUACGUACGCAACAGGGUUGCGAAAAUACAAGACACUCUUCCUGGAAGCCGCUGGACCUUUAUCGCUGGGAAAAGUAAUCCAGCUGACUGUGCUUCGCGAGGACUGUCAGUUGGCAAACUGCUGAAACACCCGCUUUGGUGGUCGGGUCCAAAAUGGCUCAGUUUGUCCCAAGAAAACUGGCCAACUAUUGAACCACCUGCUACGACCGCAACUCAUCAGGAAGAGAGACCAGGUCUAACCUUCAUGACAUUCGCUAAAACAGAUUCACAUCCUCUGCAAAUUCUCUUAGAACGCUUUUCUCGCUGGGUUUCGCUGGUUCGAACGCUUGGAAUCUGUCUACGUGCCAUCAGCCGAAUGAAAAAGGUGCCACAGUCCUCACUAGCCACCCCGCUAUCUGCUGGAGACCUGGAACCCGCAAAAUGGCUACUGGUCAAAUAUACACAAGGCCAGUACUUCUCAUCGGAACUCAAGCUGCUUUCUGACGGGGGAUUCCUACCAAAAAAUCACCCACUCGCCAAGCUGACCCCCUUUGUCGACUAUCACGGAAUUUUGAGAGUCGGUGGCCGCUUGAAAAAUUCGCUAUUGGACAGUCAGCAGAAAAAUCCAGCGAUUCUGCCUAGAUACUCACUGCUGACGUCACUCCUCAUCGAUCAUGCUCACAAACGGAACUUUCACGGGGGAACGCAAUUGACUCUGGCUGCGUUACGCCAAUCCUACUGGAUUAUUGGUGGCCGCGUACCAGUCAGAUCUCACAUCUUACGCUGCGUAGUCUGUGCUAGACACCGAGGUGUUCGAGCACAGCAAUUGAUGGGACAACUGCCCCCCUCUAGAGUGACUCCCGCACGAGCGUUUCUACAUACAGGAUUAGACUACGCUGGGCCAGUCACUCUGAAAACCUUCCAGGGUCGUGGAGCGAAAACUUACAAGGGGUGGAUUGCAGUUUUCGUGUGCUUCACGACCUCCGCUAUACAUCUGGAACUCGUCACGGACUACUCUACAGGCGCAUUCAUCGCAGCGUAUCGGAGGUUCGCAAGUCGCCGGGGCGUCUGCCACACCAUUUAUUCGGACUGUGGUACAAACUUUGUGGGUGCAGAUGCAACUCUAAGGGCUGAAUUCGCAUCAGGAUCAAAAUCACUGGGAGAACUUUCACAUUUACUGGCUACAGAUGGCACAACCUGGAAGUUCAAUCCGCCUGGAGCUCCGCACUUUGGAGGUAAAUGGGAAGCUGCCGUCAAGUCUAUCAAAUUCCAUCUCACAAGAACUAUCGGAGAGCAUCUGAUGACUUACGAGCAGCUCACUACGGUGUUGACACAGAUCGAAGCCGUGGUAAAUUCUCGGCCUCUCGCCCCACUCUCGGAAGAUCCUGCCGACCUGGAACCACUAACUCCAGGUCACUUCCUCAUUGGAGAACCACUCACCGCUGUUCCGGAACCUUCGCUACCUUCAACAACGGAAUCGACGCUAACUGGGUACAAGUUGCUACAGCAACUGUUGCAACAGUUUUGGAGACGUUGGAGCAACGAAGUGCUUCAACGUCAUCAGGGCAUCUCCAAAUGGCAUCGGGCGUCCAACGACAUCAAAGUUGGCUCUCUGGUGCUCCUCACAGAUGAGCGGUUCCCACCUACCAAAUGGCCACUCGCUAGGGUAAUCGCUAUCCACCCAGGGAAGGACGGACAUACCCGCGUAGUGACACUGAAGACAGCUACCACGGAAUUGACCCGACCAAUUGCGAAACUAUGUGUUCUGCCCAUUGAAGAUCUUGACGUCUCAGCCGUCAACCCGGGGGAGAAUGUUCAGUCAACACCCAAACUGCCCGGGCGAAGCGAAGUUCGGCUUACCCGCAGCAAGAAGGCAGCACUAAGCAGAGCACAGAUCACCCGACAAUCGAUAGCCAAUCAAUGAAUCUCUAGUUCAAAUUCACUGACACUUGCGCAUUUCGCUAUUCUCUGACGUCAUUCGCUAUGAAUUUUCUGAUUGGCUCUUAGCUAUGGGACAUCGGAAGAGCGUUGUGAG
rnacentral:misc_RNA from 1 species